rfam:Myotis lucifugus cont2.24187, whole genome shotgun sequence.
GGUGGCUCUUGGGUGACGCACCCGGGAAUCAGGCUCCUUCCUCUCUGGUUACAGGUGUGUCACCUGAGAACCCA